rnacentral:rRNA from 1 species
AUAAUACUCCAUAGAUUAGAGACACUGGAAUGUUCUGUAGUCGAAAGUUCUGGCGCCUUAGGAUGGAUUUGCGGUCGAUUAGGUUGUUGUUGGGGUAACGGCCCAACAAGCCUGUAAUCGAUACGGGUUGUGGGAGCAAGAGCCCGGAGAUGGAAUCUGAGACACGAUUACAGGCCCUACGGGGCGCAGCAGGCGCGAAAACUUUACAAUGCAGGAAACUGUGAUAAGGGAACUCCGAGUGCCCGUAUACGCGGGCUGUCCAGGUGUUUAAAAAUCAUCUGAAGAAAGGGCCGGGCAAGACCGGUGCCAGCCGCCGCGGUAAUACCGGCGGCUCGAGUGGUGGCCACUAUUAUUGGGCUUAAAGCGUCCGUAGCUGGACCGAUAAGUCUCUUGGGAAAUCCGCCGGCUCAACCGGCGGGCGUCUAAGGGAUACUGUUAGUCUAGGGACCGGGAGAGGUGAGAGGUACUCCGGGGGUAGGAGUGAAAUCCUGUAAUCCCCGGGGGACCACCGAUGGCGAAGGCAUCUCACCAGAACGGCUCCGACAGUGAGGGACGAAAGCUGGGGGAGCGAACCGGAUUAGAUACCCGGGUAGUCCCAGCCGUAAACUAUGCGCGUUAGGUGU